AUACUGCAAGGAGUCUGAAUUUGUAGGGCAUUUGGAUAAAAUGAAACAAUGUAUCAUGAAUUACACAUCACAUGCAUUUAUGAUGGGGCUUGGGGACUGCAAUUUAUCCCAUGAAUGAGGAAUUCCCAGUAAGUACGGGGCAUAAACUUGCUUUGAUUAAGUCCCUGU
rnacentral:ncRNA from 1 species